GUACUUACUCCUACGGGAGGCAGCAGUGGGGAAUUUUGGACAAUGGGGGAAACCCUGAUGCAGCGACGCCGCGUGAACGAAGAAGGUAUUCGUAUCGUAAAGUUCUGUCCUAUGGGAAGAUAAUGACAGUACCAUAGAAGAAAGCUCCGGCUAAAUACGUGCCAGCAGCCGCGGUAAUACGUAUGGAGCGAGCGUUGUCCGGAAUUAUUGGGCGUAAAGGGUACGCAGGCGGUUUAAUAAGUCGAAUGUUAAAGAUCGGGGCUCAACCCCGUAAGGCAUUGGAAACUGAUAAACUUGAGUAGUGGAGAGGAAAGUGGAAUUCCUAGUGUAGUGGUGAAAUACGUAGAUAUUAGGAGGAAUACCAGUAGCGAAGGCGACUUUCUGGACACAAACUGACGCUGAGGUACGAAAGCGUGGGGAGCAGACAGGAUUAGAAACCCCGGUAGUCCAGGCAU
rnacentral:rRNA from 1 species